rnacentral:lncRNA from 1 species
GAAGCUCCUUAGCAGAGGGGGAGCAGGACUGGGCAGGCAGGCUCCUUCCCGCUGUCUUUAUCAUGACUGAAGAAGUAAGACCGACAUCAGAGUAGCACAUGCAACCGACACCGAAGACGCUACAGAGUGCGUGGGAGGGGUGGUCCUGUGUGAGCCUCGCCUAGCAACUGCAAAAAGCCUUCCUUCCCAGCACCAGCAACCAUUGCAGUUGGAGACAGAUCGUGCCACUCAAAGGACAUUCAAGCAGAUGCAUGGUGUGAGAAGGCUGCUUUGCUCCUGGCAUGAGCUCUAUCUGCUAGCAGAAGAAUAACAUUCCUGAAAUUGGACAAAAUCUUCAGAUCAACUUCUGCUCUAAGGACAAAGCAGAGACUCUCCUUGCUGUGACAAAGGGGACAUGGGGAACAACCUGUUCCAUGAGAUCUCAUUAUUGCAGCAAUGACCCACCCAUGAGCUUGCCCUUCUUUGCAGCAAUGACCCACCCAUGCGCUUGUUGUCUGAACACCUGCUGUAGCCCUCACCUCCCAGCACUGAGCCCUUGGAUUCACACCACAGCACUAUGUGUAAGAAAGAGAAUUUGGCUAAAUCCAGAAAACUCCAAUAUACAUACCUGGAGACCAGAUAAAGCCAGCCACAGCCCAGCCUUCAUCUCUGGAGGUUUGUUUUCCCUUUGAGAUUCUGCCACAGCCCAUGUAUGACGUCAGAGCACAGCCGGCAGGCUUUCAUCUCUCUCCUUCCACCUUUAUGUGGGUUCCAGAGAUCAAACUCAGAUCCUCCGGCUGGUGCCGCAGUCACCUGCACCCUCUGAGCAUCCUCCGAAACCCAAACCACCAGCUUGCUCGGGAGAACUGAAGUUUCUUUUCAUGCAAUUAUCCCAGCCUGGAGACAGAGAGGGGAGACAACAGGACAGCUACAUCUCUCAGGCUCUGGAGGAUAAUGGGUUCUGACCUCUGAUACCUCCAGGAGAGAGAAGCAGGGGUCACUCUGAGGGAAGCCGGAGCUCACCCUGAAGAUGCUUCCUGCAUGUGCGGGAUUCUGUACUGCACACAAAGACAAUCAGGGGCAGUGGGACGCCCGAGCAGUAACAUUCAAGAGUCAACCCCAAACCAGCCAAUGAGAUCAGCUUCUUAGAUUUAGUUAGUGUUUUACAAGGCAGCCGGUGAGAUCCA